UACGUAGGGUGCAAGCGUUAAUCGGAAUUACUGGGCGUAAAGCGUGCGCAGGCGGUUUUGUAAGUCUGUCGUGAAAUCCCCGGGCUCAACCUGGGAAUUGCGAUGGAGACUGCAAGGCUAGAAUCUGGCAGAGGGGGUAGAAUUCCACGUGUGAGCAGUGAAAUGCGUAGAGAUGUGGAGGAACACCGAUGGCGGAAGGCAGCCCCUGGGUCAAGAUUGACGCUCCAUGACACGAAAGGCGUGGGAGCAAACAGG
rnacentral:rRNA from 1 species